AUCCAGCAGGCAGCUCCUGCCAAGGCGGCCUCCUCGCUGUCCUCUCCGUAGGAUGCUGCUCGCCAGGCCUUCUUGGCUGUUCCUCGGCCUUGGGUGCAGGCCGUGGGUGGGGGGACAGCCAGCUGGUAGACACCGGUAUUCGAUGUCAGCUCUUACAACAGGGAGCCAGCUCCUGUGUAAGGAAGUCAAGAUUUUCUCAAGGGAAAAAUCACCCUAGAAACCAUCAACUCAUGACAAACGUGAUCUCCAACGUUCAUUGUGGAAAAUAGCCUCAAGGAUGAGAUGAUGAGGAUUUUGAAGAUGGGCCUAGUACGUUCCGCAAGGCUGGCCUGGUCUUGUCCCUUCUGUGGUCCUCUGGGUGUCCAGCUGAGGACCUGACCUGCCCUGGAGCACAGUGGGCAUUUCCUAAAUCAAAUGGACAAAUGGAUUGACUUGUCUCUUGCUAAGAGCGCCUACCUUCGGGGUGUGGAGGUAGAGACAGGAGAGAAGCUCAGGAUGCUGCUCAGAACAACCCAUGGCUCAGACUUCCCACCUGCAAGAUGAGCAGACGGGCAGAAGGGUCCUCUCCUUGUCUGCCACCCGCAUGGCGUGCUGUGAGGAGCCUGUGAGAACCUGCCCAUCACCAUGAGAAGUGCAACACCAACCUCAGGUGGAAGGUCUUAAGAGAAAACACUGAGGUCCCUCGAAGAUGAAGAAAUCCUCAUGAAGAUGAAUCCAAAGGUGGAUUCAAUUUCAGCUGUCUUUGGACUGAAGACUGCAACAUCAACACUUCCCAGGGUCUCCAGCCUGCCCGCCUCUCCCGCAAAUUUCAGAUUUGCAAGUAUCCACAGUCAUGAGCAAUUCCUUAAAGUAAAUAUUUCUCUGUUUCUUUCUGGAUAUGUAUAGGUUGUUUCUCUGGAGAAUCCUGAUUAAUACAUGAAGGGUCAAGAUAAGUCUACUCCAGGUGAAGUGCAAAAAAUGAACAAGGAGGCCCAAUGAUGCAUCUGCUUAACUUUUCAGUUGUCAAUGCAAAUUAAGCACAAAGAGGACAGAGUUGAUGACAUAUCAGGAACAUUUUUUACUUCCGGAGCAGGUCUGAGUCCCAGCGGAAGACUGAGGCCGACUGAGCCAGAGGCACCACUUCAAUAGGUCACUGGUCUCUGCAGGGAAAGGAAAAGGUGUAAGAGUUCUCCCUGCAUAGAUGCUAUUUGUGACUUGGAUGUUUUCUUUCUAAUACAAAUGCAUCAAAGUGUUCACAGGAAUCUAGCUAUAUGCAAGAAGUCUGGAUUAUCUGCCUGAGAGAACUGGCCAGUAUCUCACCCAUGAGCACCAGAACCCAUUUCUAGAUUACUAAGAAAGGAGCACAAGAACACUGUGUAUAAGGCUCUGUGUUCCUAGAACUUUCUAAAUUUUACUUAAUGCAGGUUAACUUCAUCAACCCUGGUGAAAAUGCCACCUCCUCAUGAGGAAGCCUUCCC
ensembl:lncRNA GACAT3 gastric cancer associated transcript 3